rnacentral:rRNA from 1 species
GACGAACGCUGGCGGCGUGCUUAACACAUGCAAGUCGAACGGGCCUUGUCCCCUUUUUUUUGGGGGUGGGGUUAGUGGCGAACGGGUGAGUAACACGUGAGUAACCUGCCCCUCACUUCUGGAUAACCGCUUGAAAGGGUGGCUAAUACGGGGUGUUCUGGCCUGCUCGCAUGGGUGGGUUUGGAAAGAUUCGACCGGUUUUGGUUGUUUUGGUGGGGGAUGGGCUCGCGGCCUAUCAGCUCGUUGGUGGGGUGAUGGCCUGCCAAGGCUUUGACGGGUAGCCGGCCUGAGAGGGUGGGCGGUCACACUGGGACUGAGACACGGCCCAGACUCCUACGGGAGGCAGCAGUGGGGAAUAUUGCACAAUGGGCGCAAGCCUGAUGCAGCGACGCCGCGUGAGGGAUGGAGGCCUUCGGGUUGUGAACCUCUUUCGCCAGUGAAGAAGGUCCUGCUCUUUGUGGUGGGGUUGACGGUAGCUGGGUUAAUGAAGCGCCGGCUAACUACGUG